CUUCAUUUAGAUCGGGUUUUGGUUCCAUCUUCCUCGCAGGUCGCAGUCGCUACGAUGUGACGAUUCACUGUUAUCGGGGCGAGCAAUCGGAGUGCUUGUAUAACUCGUGUGUGUAAAAAUUGUCACAGAUCGAGCUUCCUUUGUCGAUGCCUCUUCGAGGGGGAGUGGAUGAGGCGGUUCAUACCGUUUCUUCCUCUUCUACAAUCCGAAGGGGGCGAUCUCAUAUCCUAUCGUCUUGGAGAGCAGAUUCUCUGCGGUGACCUCUUUGGCAUGGCCAUGAGAAAUACAUUCAUUCUUCAAUACAUAUAUACCUGUGCAUUAUGUCUCAAGGAAUUUGAAAAUCAUAUCUAGCAAUUGAUUGAUGAUUUGGCCUGUGAAGAAAUAUUCAUUAAAAUUACACCAUCUUUCGGGACUGAAUGGCCGAAAGGCCUUGCUGUCAUUCUGCAAUUCUGAGGCCUUAUUUUAUCUUUGGUUUUCAAGUCUUAGGUUCAAUUUUGUUGUGAUCUGAAUUUUUGAUGUUCGUUGUAUCGUGUUGCAGAUUGUAAGCUAAAUAAAUUGUUUAUAUCUGCUCGCAGCUGUGCUCUUCGUUUGUCUAUUUUCCUGUAAUCGGAAUUACUACACCUGCGUGCUUAUGGACGGUCAAGUGCUGCUCAGCUUAACAUACAGCAACACUUAACAUUUAUUCAUAAGCUAUAAUGAUAGCCGCCUCGUCUUUCGAGUCUUUCCUGUAAUUAUCUCAGGGAAGCCUAUCCGCGCUGUGGCUUACAUUCUAUUUUUAUGAACAAAUUAAACAAAUUCUGGGUUUUUUUUAACAUAAACUAUAUAUUCUUCAAAUAAUUAUAUAAACAUUUCAUUUCUGGGGCUCAACUAGGCCCAAAUCGGACCAGCCACAUAAUUAUCUAAAGAUUUCACUACGAUUCUAUUGAAUUCAUUUCUUCAACCGAUUUAGGCAUUCUGUUGUUUUGGACAUUUGACUUCGUUGAUUAAGGUGCGGGGUUUUUGACUGCUGUUGUCUCUACCGUCUUCGUUGGCUCGCCUGCCUUCUCAAUGUCAUCUACGAAAGUGAUAUCUGAUUCGAUUUUGUGCUCUCUGUUCUUUCCCCAUAAUACACUGUAUAGUCCUCCAACCAGCAACAGUCCUCCCAAUAUGCUGUUAUAAUAAAAUGAUUUUGUUUAUAGA